CCCCGAGCUGACAAGGUCAAAAUCUGUCGUUCUGCACCUGAACAAGGCAGUUAACCUACUGUUCCCUGGUAUGCUGUUAUUGUAAAUAAGAAUUUGUUCUUAACUGACUUGCCUAGUUUAAGGUCAAAUUAAAUAGAAUCGGGCUGCCUGUCUAAAUGCAGGUAAGGCAAAACCUUUGACAGAUGUUAAAGACAAAAAUGUACAGAGAAAGAAUCAAAUAGAAAAACGUGUGAUAGAAGGAAAUGUGCUGAAGUGAGAGGUGUGGAGACAACUGUUCUCGGGUGUACCGUAAAUACAUUCCUUGGGGAUCACCAGUCUGACGAGCCGUUGGCGGUGUGUAGGCUAGCCGUGUCCUUUCUUGUGAUUGGUUGUACAAUGUCACCAUAAAAGGAGAGGACUGCAGGGGACCAUUUGUUUUUAUGGACAGAAAAGAGCAGAAGCUCAGCUAUCCGAUCAGGCCCAUUGUCUAUGUUGGACCGGUUGCAUCCCAGAAGUGUCAAAGGUUUGACAGCUGAAGGAAGCUUGUGGGAAUAACAGGUAUAGAUGUAAAGAAAAGUAAGAAUUGAAAUAAAGGAGACAAAGGGACAAAUACACUUCUUUACAGGUUUGCUACAAAGGUAACAUUAGGUAGCAGGAGGGUUACAAGACCACCAUCCACUUUUACUCUACGAAAAAAGAUUGCUUUCAGAGUGCAGUAUAACUGCAGAAUGCUGAAAAUACUGUGUCCAAAAUAUAUAUAUAUAUUUUUUACUGCAGUUAUUUUGUAGUGUAACUGCAGUUACAGUGCAGUAUUACUGUGCCACAUUUGACUGCAGUGACUACUUUUACUGCUGUUUAAAAAUUCAUUUUUUUUUGGUAAGGGUGGAGUUGGUUCCACUUGGAGUGAGAAUGGUAUAACAAAGGAGAGGUUAUGGUUAAAUAUUAAUUAAAAUCUGACUCAUUUUGGUAGACUGAGAGUCACAUAUCUCAUCUCUGCAUAAUAUACAAAAACUAAUGAUAAACUGGUUGCGCUUCUUAUUCCAAUUCAACAUCCAAUCCAGCUUCCUCUUGACUUUUUCCAUUCAAAUUCAAACUCAAAUGAUGGAACUGACUUUGUUUUCAUGGCAUGCUGUAUAGAUCUCAGCACCCUGUUCUCCCCUCAGAGGAUAUUGGAUAAAUGUGUGUGUUCGAUGCCCUGUAGUCUGUCCCUUUAAGUACUCCCAAGUCUGUGUCCCUGCAAACUAGUUGUAUCAGGGACUGCCCCAAUGGUAUUGGUGGUAAGCAUGUCUGUGCGCUGAACUUAGCCCAAGACCACCUCUCAUCACACUAGCACAAUUCAUGUUAGGUUACAAUGGAACCAGGAGUGAAUGGUGUAGAGUUACCAUCAAUGGAGCUGUAUUGCGAUAGGAACACUGGCCAAACAAUGUGUGUACAGCAGAACUCCUAACAACACCAGCUAAGAUUGCUGUUUUGUCAAUCAGUCGCUGUCUAUUUUCUUGGCUGUAACAAAUGGUAACUGCUGACGCUUGGCAUUUCUUCUACUGUAAACAGCACUCUGGUUAUAGUGUAUGCAAUCAUGUUAUAUUUCAAACAACAGUUGAACCUAGUUUAUUUUCUUGAUAAAGAAUGAUUCAUUAAUUCUCUUGGCUGUUGAUAUCUGAUAAGUUUGACGCUUUUCAAAAUAGGCUUGAACACGUGCAUGUCUAUGUUCUGAUUGACUAAUGUGCUUAGUUGGAGAAAUCCCAAAGACUAUCUACUGACUUAACUCACUCCACUCUGUCAUCAUUUUUAGAUAAAAAUUCGAAGCUUCUGGAGCUCUUUUCUCACUUUCAUUUUGUCGCUCGACAUAUCACGUUGGCAUUCUUCUGUGUCUCCAUGGGCAACUAUAGCUCUGGCCUUACCGUGGGUAAGCCAUGUCAUCAUUCUCAAAUCCUUUCUUAUGUUCCUUUGAACUCACCUACGACGGUUUAGAUUCUCCAAACUGUCAUCAAUGACAAAACAAUGUAAUACUGGAUGACACUCUGUUUUUGACAGCCUGUUGUUUUGCUUCAAUGACCCCACCAUUAAUUAUGCCUUCAAAUCAAGUCAACAAUUUAUCUAAUGCGUCUGUUGGUUUGUUUUAUUUCUCCAAGACAUUGAAGAUUUUAAGUCACACAGUGUUUCAGUCACAGAGACCCUGAACCAAUUGGCAGCACGUGUGGCGGAUGAAAGAUUUCAGUCACAGAUUUUUUCACUGGCUCCUCAGUCUAACCUUGACAUACAGGAAGACGUACAGGUAGCCCCUACACAGGUGGGUGAGACGCAAGAGAAUGAGAAAGAGGACCUCUCCUCUGUCAUAUCACUCAUCAGCAGCCUGGCAGCACCUACAAAUGCCCCAGUGUUACCUGUAAUUCAAUUUUCACCUUACCAUGCAUGCUGCCCAAUGUCAAUGUGGUCUAUAGAGUUGCUUAUUCAAUCAAUAUUGUUCCAUCAAAACAUUUACACCCAAAAGGAUCUUCUGCAUGCCUCUUGAAUUUGUUUGACCAGUUGUGCUGUUGUGAUGUGUCGUUGGACAUGUGGUUGAAAAGAAGCUUCACCGGCCUUCAAGGCCCACAAUGCUCUCCUCCUCAUUAUCCACUGGUGCCAGUGCACCACACCCCUUCUCCACACUCAUCCCUGGGGCUCUCUCAGCUAUCCUGCGUGCUACCCUGCCCCCCCACCUUACCUCUGACCCCAAGCCCAGGAGAGAGCCAGGUGCCCAGUGCCAACUGACCCUCGAGCAGCUGCGGACAGAGCUCCGGGACCUAAGGGAUGAGGUCAAACUGAUGAAGAGCCAGCACAACAAAGAGAUUCAACUGCUGAUGAAUGAGCUGGAUGAGGAGAAAAGGAUUUGCUUGUCAUUACAGGUACUGCGGGUCUGUCGGUAGACGUCUGCAUAUGAUCCAAGUACUGAAUACAUCACUCUAUCAAAUAUGUACCUAACAGAGAUUAGGGGUGUACCUCCACAUUGUAUUAGUGAUCAAUUUUAUGACAUUAACUUUUCCUGACUUACAGGCCCAAUGCAGUUGUUUUUAUAUCAAUAUGAAAUCAUUUCUGGGUAACAAUUAAGUACCUUACUAUAAUAUUUUUCCAUUACAUUUACAAAAAUAGCAAUAAUUUAGCUAGGAAUGUAUGGGAGUGGUCUGAGUGGGGAGGGGGGAAUCUGAACUCUCAGUGUUAUUAGUUUAUUAACCAAUUUACCACCUUGCUCGUGUCUACUUGAUGUUACCUCUGGGUCUCAUGUCUGUGUGUUGUCUUGUGGCCCAGAUGGAUGUGGCACAGAUGAAGAAGCACAAGUCUAAAUGAGCAGGCAGGCUCAAACAGCAUGGCAUCACCAACAAUGCCAGAACAAGUGGUAAUCUGUCUCUUAGAA